rnacentral:lncRNA from 1 species
CGCCGCCCCGGCGGCUCCCGGGACCCCCGGUCGGUGCCGCGGCACGGGGCAAGCGGGGCCGUGUCCGUGCGCUGCCUCAGGGCUCCCGUGUGGGAGCCAGCUGCCUCCUGCUCGGCAUGGCAGAGCCGGCAGCAUCGAGCACCGGUGGCCGAACGGGUGAGCAGAGGAAAAUCAAGCCCCAGGAAACCCUCUCUGAACAUCAGCACCUGUUACCGGACCUGCCUCAGCACAGAAAUUAAGGGUAGAAUACACACACAGAUGAACCAGUCUUUCUGCAGAUGCGAGUGAGCCAAUUAAUGAUUUACAGUGUUUUGAAAGUAAGCAUCCUAUGUACUAAGAAUAAUAUUAUUGCUUGAUGUUCUGCAGCACGUUUUAUUAAAAACAAACUGUCAAAUCAGAUAACUGCUCGGCUUAAGUUGCUGAAACUGGUAAUUGUCUACAUGUUUGUUCAAACACUGAAAAUCCCUGCUCACAAGUAGUCCUUAGCAGUAGUAGUGCUGAAGCUGUGGUUAUCAAGGGACAGAGAUAAGCAACGUUUGCAGAGAGGUAGUAUUGCUGGACACAGUCGGGAAAAAAAAAAACCCAAACCAGAUAACCUUCCAAACAUAAGCCCUUCACGUGUCCUUUACACGUGCAAGUAACUCUACAAACUACAGCAAUUUAGGCCUUUGUGCAUUUCAGUGGUUUGUAAAACCAUAUGCUGAUUUUUCAGCAGCUUCUUCCGCAGAGCAUCUUUUACUUAUCAGGAACUCACAGUUAGACUUUCACUAAAAAAGCGCACCCAACUAUUACAGUGGGGCUCACUUACAUGGCAUUCUCCUGACAUGCUACACACUGCAGCUGAUCAAGAUUGGACUCACAGUUUACUUUCCACGAGGAGACAUUUUACACAUUUUAUACAUAAAUACCACCCUUCAGACGGAAUUUAUAAUUUCUUGUGAUAUUAUACAACACUGUCACUAUCCAUACACUACUUUUGUUCUACUCGAGUAGAACAACACUCAAGAAUUGUGUGGCUGGUUAUUCUGGCUGCACAGUGCCUGAACACAAGGGAUAAAGACAGUGAAACAAUUCUUCAGUGAGCUGCAAACUGGGACAGGUCUUUUUGUUUUGUACACAAAGUCCCAUUUUGGAGCUCUCCUCUCACAGCCAGAAGUAAAAGAUCUCACUUUUUCACACUAAAAACAAGAAAAAGGAGACAGGUGAUCCACAAAAUUUUUGGUGACCCUAAAAUUAAUUCUGCUUCAUAGAAAAUUACUAUGAAGGCAUGUAUAAGAACCAAGCACAUUCAACAUCCACAUCUUGCUACAUUUAGUUCUGGAUAUCAAUAAAACAUUGCUAAGGUAACAGACCAAGUAAUUUUAAGGUUUUUAUGUUUUACCACUGGGACUAAGCAAGGUCUUACUUAGCUUUUGGAUAAUGAUAGCCUCUGGAAGCCUGAAUCCUAGGCAGGACCCCAGUGCACAGUAAGCUAUAGCCCACCCCUUCUCCAGAAAGUUUACAUAUAGAGGUACCAGGAAAAUGGUAGUUUCUGUUCUAGAGUAUCAUUCAUGUUUCUUUUCACUGUCAUUUUGUUUGACAUACAAAUAGUUUUGCUUUCCUGCAAUGUCAUAAGAAUUGAUGCUUAACCAAAGUUAGGGUGUUUUUUAAAAAAAUUCAUUAGCCAGAGGGGAAAAAUUAUUUGUCCUUGCUACAGGGGAAAACAAGUCUUCAACCAAAAGUUUGUAACUCUAGAAACAGGUAGGUAAAUAUGAGGUGUUGAGUUUAAAGAGAGGUAAAGGAGCAUUUAGAAGAGAUUCUCCAGAAAUUCUGUAACUUGUGAAAACAACAAGGAUGUUAAGAAGUUUAAAAAUGUCUUAGAAGCUAAGAGUAGCACCAACUAAAUGGGUACUUCACACAAUCCUAAAACUAAUGCCCACUUCUAGGUGUUGACGUUACUGGAUCACUUACAACAGUAGUAGAAUGAAGGCAACGAGCAGGAUAUUGUAACGUUAAGGAUACAGACCAUAAUACGUACAGCUUACCUACAGCUUUCCUUCUAACUCACAGUUUCUUCAAGCCCUGGGUCUUGUUUCCAAUUCAGGAACCUGAUUACAAAUGGCAGUAACAUAAUAUGUUUGUCUCACCCAAAAAAGUUAUGCACAAAAGUAAAACACUGCAUAUCCUGGGUGGCUGUAAAGUCAUUUAAAAAUGCCUAGCAUGUAUUACAAGAACAUUCAGGCAAUUAUUCUUUGUUAAUGAGUUAUCAUAGAUAGGAGUUACCUUUUUCAUUCACAAAUUAGCCCAGCCAUUUUUUGAAGGAUGAAUGUAAAAGUGAGGAGUUUCUGUAUCUCAGUACC